GUGUUCAAUACAGGUAUCUAGAUUCGGGUUUUCUGCAGCUGAUGCACCAGGGUGAUUGGCAGCAUCUGUUCUUGCUUCAUUCUAGUGAUGACCACAAGUAAUGCUAAAUUAUUCAUAAAGGCAAUGGCACCAGCCUACGAACCCCCCUUAGGUGUAUUCAUCUCAUCUGCCAUAUUUUGUACAGCACCCAGUUGAUGGACUAAUUUUGAAUGUUGCCGUAGUCCUCUUUCUUUUCUGGAAAGAAAAAUCGCCGCUUGAAAUUUUUUAUUUAUGGAUUUAUUCAUCUCGGGGCUUUCAGUUUAGUUUUGUGAUUGCGCUUGUUGUGGGAUGUAAACUGCUUGCUACUGAUCAUUGCAAUUGGGUACAAAAGGAAUAUAUGUUUGUUUUGUGUUACAAAAUAAAUAUCGCAUAAGUAGGGGGAAGGUGUAAACAUUGGUGCUGCAAGAGAAGCAAAGAGAUAGGUCUAUGUAUUACUCCCUCCGUCCCAUAAUAUAAGUGCGUUUUUGACACUAGUGUAGUGUCAAAAACGCUCUUAUAUUAUGAGACGAGGUUUUUGCAGAUAGAGAAGUACUCCCUCCAUUCAUAAAUAUAAGAUGUUCUAUUUUUUUUCUAAAUCGGAUGUAUAUAGACAGGUUUUAGUGUGUUUGUUCUCUCAUUUCAGUCCGUAUAUACUCCAUAUUGAAAUAUCCAAAUCAACUUACAUUUGUGAAUGGAGGGAGUACUAACUAUGUUCAAUAAAUUGAUGCUGGCAAAAUGCCACUGUAGCUACUCACACUCCUUUACUUUUGUCCUCCUAGAGCAUGUUCAGAUUGGUAAAGAAAUCAGCAUUGUGCUUGCCUUCGAUAAUGGCUGGGAUCCAUGUCCCCUUUAUUUUCUUCCUCCAUAGUUGCUUUAUGUUCAGAUUGGUUAACAGUACUACAGAGGGAAAUUUGAGAAACAACUACCGUACCAAUUAUUUACUGGAUUUUAUUAUUUAUUUUGCACCUCAAUGGCUAGUUGUGAUGUCCCAUUAGGCCUCUAUAGUUUACACAAUAUACUAUAUUGGAUUAAUUUACUUGUUGACCGAAAUGAUAUAGCAGUGAUGUACAGUCUAGCUCUCAGAUUUGUUGCUGUAAUUAUUUUCAAUCUCCAGUUUUGAAGGGUGUACUUAUUGUUGUCUCUCAAAUCACAAUGUCAUGUGGGCAUGUGCCUACUGAUGACAGAGCCACAAAGUUUUUUUAACAAAUAUUUAUUUUGACAUUGUGAAGCAAGAAUAACAUAAAUGUCCCAAGACACAGGUCGUGUUCGUGCUACUACAUAGUAAUGAUGCUGUUUGUUUUAUGUUAGGGUGCCACAAUAUUUAUAUCAUAUUAUGGACAGUGAUGAAGUGACUUAUAUUGUUGAGUAUGCAGAGAUCAAUAAGUGAGCAAACUUAAGCUAGACAAUAGUGCUACGCGACCAAAUAUCUGUCCCUGGAUACCGAGAAUGUGAGUGAGCCCCGUUCUGCUGCCGUUGUUAUAUUACCUCCGGGGAAGACCGACUGGGUGUACUAAAUGCUCAAUUGGUACCUGCAUACCAUUAGGAGAUACAUUUUGGUGUAGCUUAUCUCAGUGUCAUAUAAAGAAACAGUAAAAGCUUUGCAUUUCUUCUAUUAUGCCAACACAUCCCGCUUGGUUUGUUUCUACUGUGGUAGAAACACAAGCUCUGCUGGAAAGGUAUAGCGCAAAUUCACAAGUAUCACAACUUCGUCAUCAAAUGGGUUUAUUAUCCGAUGAGGCUAUAGUGUAGCCGAACAUACGACUCUUUUAUUGCUUAAAAGAGGCAGGGGCUAAUUAUAUCUAAGUUUUAAAAUAGUAUUUUCUGUUGACCUGAGCAACAACAGUGGUACAACUCUUUUAUUAGCUCUGCUAUGUGUUUAUUGGAUGUUAGGUUGCUGAUGGAAAUAGGCGCUAGGAUAAUUGGAGCUGUAUUUUAUUGUAAUGUGUUAAGAAAUCAAGUUACUUGCUUUAAAGUUCUUUGAUUUAUAUGAUGUUUUACAUUGUACACAAAGGUGGCUUGCCAGGUAAAUUUGCGAACAUAUGUUUUGGGGUUUGAAUUAGUGUCACUUUGCCUUGCAGGUACUGGAUACAACAAUGUGAAUGGGGUGGCUUUAUCAAACAAGUAUCAUUGUCCAUGGUGGAACUAUCUAGUGUGUGUGCUCUGCAGAAAGGGUGGCACAGUAGAAGAUGCAUGAAUGCCAUAUUGAGGAUUCUAUAUGGGUGCAGUGAAGGGCACUUGUUUCUCUAGUUUGAUUGGAAAGCCAUGAUUAGAACAAAAGAGUUGGUCCAGAACGAGUGGGCGGAGUAGGGAUGUUGAUUUGAGAUAGUUGGACUGCAGAUGGAGAAGACCCCCUGCUGAAAGCUGACCUGGAUAUCAAGGGAACAUCAAUACCAGUGUGAAAUAAGCAUCCUGAUUACAGAACGGGCACCAGUAUCUCAACUCUGUUACGGCUUGGGGCUGUGGUGCCCUCGAGGGAGAAGUAUCAAGGUUAGCUGGGGAUUAAGCAGCUAAGGAGGUCUUACAUAUUGAACGUCGCCGUUGGACCGCCCAAGGACAUGCCGGUCCGGGUGGUCGUUGGUAUGGCAUGUCGCCAUGAGUUGAGCACGAGGACAGGCUCCUCAAUCUUCCUUGCUGUCGACCAAUUUCUGCUCAUGGCCCCAGCAUCUGCCAGAUCAAUCAUGUAUGCAUACAUGAUUGAAGAAUAAGAAGGUUCAGAAAUGCUCACUCUACGGGGGCACUCUCCUCCAUCAUCGCUUCAAAGGAAACCAGACACCUUCCACGGAGUUGAGCAGCUCUCACCCUUGCCGUGGCACUCUCCUCCAUCAUCGCUUCAAAGGAAACCAGAUACCUUCGACGGAGUUGAGCAGCCCUCACCCUUGCUGUCUAAACUACAUGAGCCUGUGUGGAAGAUGAUGAAUUAAUGUCCCCAUCCUGAGAUGCUGCAUCUGAAUUUUGAAUCAUAAUCCCUCCAUUGGAAACAACAACUCUCUGCUGCAACUGUCCACUAGAAUUGCAGAAGCAAGAGGCUGCUUUUACAAUUCUAGUUAAUUGCAGAGGCAAGCAACUGUCCUCAGUAGGAAAGACUAUCCCAUAGUUUGCAGAAGAUCGGUGAUCAAACCCACUUCCUGAGGUAGAGGUGUGAUCCUCCCAGAGAGAAGGGUAAUAGAGAGAGAGGGAGUGUGUGUGUGUAUGUCUGUCUGUGUGUUGUGAGAGAGGAAACCAGCCUAGUUGCGAGUAAAAUUGGCAGGAGCAGAGUCACUUGUGCGUGACUUUUGACAUGGA